rnacentral:snoRNA from 1 species
CGGCCCGGCUGCCCGCCCUCUCCGCUGAGGAGUGAAGCGGGGGUUCCGGUCGGGCCGACAGGGGGAUGACGAGCUUUUGCUUUGCUGAAGCCGCGCUGCGUCGUGAUGACCACGCCCUUCACCGACCCCGAGAAAAGCA